rnacentral:misc_RNA from 1 species
UUGAAUUCCAACGUAAAGGGUUGUUGCUGGCAUAACUUGCAUGUGCACGCCCGAUACACUCACACCUGUGCACCUACUGACUGAAGCCCUUCACCGGAGGGUGGACGUCCUUACUACACACACUUUUUAAAUACUUGUUUGAUAUUAUAAAAAUAUUAAAUGA